AAUGGGAUAGUUGGGUCAUAUGAUGGUUUCAUCCCUACUUCAUGAGGAAUAUCCUUACUUCUUUCCAGAGUAGACUAAUCUGCUGUCCCACCAACCAU
rnacentral:pre_miRNA from 1 species